AUACGGAGGGUGCAAGCGUUACUCGGAAUCACUGGGCGUAAAGCGCGCGCAGGCGGUCUUUUAAGUUGGAUGUGAAAGCCUACGGCUCAACCGUAGAACUGCAUCCAAAACUGUCAGGCUAGAGUGUGGGAGAGGAAGAUGGAAUUAGUUGUGUAGGGGUAAAAUCCGUAGAGAUAACUAGGAAUACCAAAAGCGAAGGCAAUCUUCUAGAACACUACUGACGCUGAGGCGCGAAGGCGUGGGGAGCAAACAGGAUUAGAAACCCGAGUAGUCC
rnacentral:rRNA from 1 species